AGGUCUUGACAUCUCUCUGACCGACUCUUAGCCGGGUCUUCCCUUCGGGGCAGAGAUGACAGGUGGUGCAUGGUUGUCGUCAGCUCGUGUCGUGAGAUGUUGGGUUAAGUCCCGCAACGAGCGCAACCCUUGUGUUUAGUUGAAAACAGGUUAAGCUGUUCACUCUAGACAGACUGCCGUGGAUAACACGGAGGAAGGUGGGGAUGACGUCAAAUCAUCAUGCCCCUUAUGAUCUGGGCUACACACGUGCUACAAUGGUCGGUACAACGGGCAGCGAAAUCGUAAGAUGGAGCGAAUCCUAAAAAGCCGAUCCCAGUUCG
rnacentral:rRNA from 1 species